GAAAGAUUUGAUAAGAAUUAUGUCUGCAUAUUUACGUUAUAAAUGGAAUUGGAGGCCCUUUCCCUUCAUGGUGUCUGAAAGCACAUUAGCGAGUGCUAGUCCAUUGAGACAGGCCUAGGAAAUACAUGAGCCCUCAGGUAAAGGUUAGGCACAAAGGUACGGAUGGCGACGCCGUGACGAAAGCCAUGGAACUAGAGGUUAAUAUCGAAAUCGAGAAAAAUACAGACAAAUAAAGGUCAAACAAAUGGAAAAAGAAGUAUCACUCGUUGGUUAUGGACCAACAUAUGC